rnacentral:misc_RNA from 1 species
GAUGAAGAACGUAGCGAAAUGCGAUAAGUAAUGUGAAUUGCAGAAUUCAGUGAAUCAUUGAAUCUUUGAACGCACAUUGCGCCCGUCAGUAUUCUGGCGGGCAUGCCUGUUCGAGCGUCAUUACGCCCCUCAAGUCCCCUGUGGACUUGGUGUUGGGGAUCGGCGAGGCUGGUUUUCCAGCACAGCCGUCCCUUAAAUUAAUUGGCGGUCUCGCCGUGGCCCUCCUCUGCGCAGUAGUAAAACACUCGCAACAGGAGCCCGGCGCGGUCCACUGCCGUAAAACCCCCCAACUUUUUAUAGUUGACCUCGAAUCAGGUAGGACUACCCGCUGAACUUAAGCAUAUCAAUAAGCGGAGGA